AAGUCAUUGUACGUGAGCCAAAAUGAAAUUUCCAUAAGGGUAAUUUGCAGGCCACACCCUUUGACCAUGUUUUAUUUUCAAGGAUUGGCAAAGUGAAAGGUGGUUUUCACGUUUUGUCUUUUCAGCUGAAAUUUGACCAUUUUGCCCUUACUGCUGCAGUAGAGAAACUGUUGAAUGUACGGUUUAUUUAGUCAGGUUUAGUUAGGUACACUAUUCCGGUUUAGUUAUAAUAUUAUAAAAUUAUUGAUAAUAAUUGGUGAGUUAAAGAUGAACCCAGGAACAAACAUUAAUUGCGAACAAACAUUGAUGCUCAAGAAGUGUUGAUCUUUUUUAUUUACGAAGUUUGGAGUCAAGAUAAGCAUUAUCGUGUAAGUAAUGAAGUUUUAAAGAAUUUUUUUGUUAUAACAUACUAUGAUCUUCAUUGUGUUCAAAAUCAACUUUGUUUUUUAUAGA
rnacentral:sRNA from 1 species